AUUGAACGCUGGCGGCAGGCCUAACACAUGCAAGUCGAGCGGGGUUUUCGGACCUAGCGGCGGACGGGUGAGUAAUGCGUAGGAAGCUGCCCGAUAGAGGGGGAUACCAGUUGGAAACGACUGUUAAUACCGCAUAAUGUCUACGGACCAAAGUGUGGGACCUUCGGGCCACAUGCUAUCGGAUGCGCCUACGUGGGAUUAGCUAGUGGGUGAGGUAAUGGCUCACCAAGGCGACGAUCUCUAGAUGGUUUGAGAGGAUGAUCAGCCACACUGGGACUGAGACACGGUCCAGACUCCUACGGGAGGCAGCAGUGGGGAAUAUUGGACAAUGGGCGCAAGCCUGAUCCAGCCAUGCCGCGUGUGUGAAGAAGGCCUUCGGGUUGUAAAGCACUUUCAGCGAGGAGGAAGGGGUGUGUGUUAAUAGUACACACCUUUGACGUUACUCGCAGAAGAAGCACCGGCUAACUCUGUGCCAGCAGCCGCCGUAAUAC
rnacentral:rRNA from 1 species